rnacentral:rRNA from 1 species
GAUGAACGCUGGCGGCGUGCCUAAUACAUGCAAGUCGAGCGAACAGACGAGGAGCUUGCUCCUCUGACGUUAGCGGCGGACGGGUGAGUAACACGUGGAUAACCUACCUAUAAGACUGGGAUAACUUCGGGAACCCGGAUCUAAUACCGGAUAAUAUAUUGAACCGCAUGGUUCAAUAGUGAAAGACGGUUUUGCUGUCCCUUAUAGAUGGAUCCGCGCCGCAUUAGCUAGUUGGUAAGGUAACGGCUUACCAAGGCAACGAUGCGUAGCUGACCUGAGAGGAUGAUCGGCCACACUGGAACUGAGACACGGUCCAGACUCCUACGGGAGGCAGCAGUAGGGAAUCUUCCGCAAUGGGCGAAAGCCUGACGGAGCAACGCCGCGUGAGUGAUGAAGGUCUUCGGAUCGUAAAACUCUGUUAUUAGGGAAGAACAAAUGUGUAAGUAACUAUGCACGUCUUGACGGUACCUAAUCAGAAAGCCACGGCUAACUACGUG